GCAAACGAGAGAACAGCUGUAGAAGACAAGUUGUUGGUGUUAUUCUGACCUGCAGCAGCUUAGAAUGAAUAAUUGUAAUAAAUUAAUGGAUUGAUGGCUAAAUGAAGAUACACCAUGGACCAAACUUUAUCCCUCAUACCUAUACUUCAUUCCAGGCUGACGUAAGCUAGAAUCACUUGGGGUUGGAACAUUUUGCACUGACAGAUGUCCAAGGCUCCGGGCGACCAUGGCUACAGCUCGGAAUUUUGUUCGAGCGGCAAGAUUUGGGCUACUGACAUUUUGCCGGUUCAGCCUAUCUUCUGCACUGCGCGUUUUCAAGUUGUGUUCGGAACAUGCAAAAGAAACCUGCAUUUUGUCGUCUUUUUCUUCUCCAACUUAAACAAAAAUUGAUGUUUAUUGAAUCUCCAAGGGAUGCGCCGAAAUGAGAAUUCUGGAACGAAACCGAUACCAAAAAUUCAGGAUUCCCCUGGCCGAAAACCGAAACCAAAUUUUUUUUUCUUUUUUUAACUACAGUGUGUGUGUAGCUGAGAUAGAUUGUAGGCGAGAAAGCUCCAACAAAUGGACGUGGUCACUUGUACCGUAGGGUGUGAUCUGCAGUGAAACUGGAGCUCUACAAGGGAGAGCAUGGUUAUAGCCAGACAACAAUACGAGGUGGACAUGUGUUUGUUUUUGGGUGUAGCUAUCCGUGCGAUAGGCGUGGCUGCACCCGAUCGUCUUUCAUCUUAUCUCCGCCUAGUUCCUGGUUUGGGUCUCACACUGACCCGUCAGAUUAUAUGUCCGGAGCCCCAAAUGGAGUCUGCCUGUCACCUAUCACCAGGACCACCGGACUUAGCUACGACCUUACGUGCAAGGUGGUUAUAGAAAGUUACUGUGCUUUUUGUAUACACCGUCUGGUGGGUGCUAAUUUGUACCAACUGUGUGCGAGCUUGGGGCUUAUGCAUAUAUAGUGUGCACGCAUAUUUGCCUCAGGCGAAUAGAAUGUCUAUGCACAAGAGGCUGAUGUAUGAGCACUGUAUAUAAGGCUUAUACAUAUUUACUGUAUGUGCAUAGGGCUGUGUCUGAUAAUAUCAAGUGUUUAUAAACAUGUUACUUAUCCUCCUUUUGAAAACUGUAUUCAAAACUUUGGUUUCCUUAAAAAAAAAAAAAAAAAAAAAAAAGGGCACUGCUGGUUGGAAAUAUCAUCAUGUCAUGGUACUUAUGUGUGUGCUCUGUGUACCAUGCCAGUGCUGUGCUGCUCACCUUAUGCUAAGGAUAGACAUGUAACUCAAUAGAACAGGGGGAGGGCUGUACAUUUUUAGCCAUUUUUGUCCUCUUUGGGACGAAAUUGGAAUUGCACAUUUUCGGCGGCCCAAAUUUUGGUGCAUCGCUAGUAUUAUUCUUUAUUUAGUUCUGUGUAACAGAAUCAGAUUUAACUGUUUUUGUUUUGUUACCAAUUAUCAAAAUAAAGUAUAGUCCUAGAAAACUAUUAUUAUAUGCAAAACAGUAAGUCAAGUAAUGAACUCAAACAGCAGCUCUAGGCUGGCAUCAAAUUUGAAAUAUGCUACACAAUCAUUUUACCGAAAUUUUGGUGCAUCCCCUAUUUAUUUCAUAGGCAAUAGUUUUAAUUAAAACCCAGUAGAUCACAUUAAAACAUAAAGAAAGAAAAGAUCCAACAUAUUUUAUGUAUUUAUAUUACUGUUAUUUAAAAAAAACAACAUCUUUUAAAAAUAUAAAAGUAAACAAACAACCCCCCAAUAAAAUAUUAUGGAUUUAUUUCACUUUAAACAUUUUUUUAAUAAAACAGCCUUGAGAAUAUAUAAUUCCAUCUAUCCCAAAUAAAACAACAAUAUUCUUGUUUUUUCCCUAUGUUGGAGCACAUCCCAAUAAAAACAAGGGCACUUUAAUUCAUCAAAAUUUACAUUUCACUAGUUUUCUUCAAAAACGUACCUUGUAAUCCUGACAGCCGCUGCAGCGCUUCCUCCGCCCGUCGCAAGCCCUCUUUGUGGGUCCAAAAUGACGAAUCCGGCUUCCUCCAAUUACGGCGUUGCCUCAGGCCAUGAUUCCCCCGGGGGGAAAGCCGUGAUUGGAGGAAGUCGGAUUCGUCAUUUCUGAUGUAUGAAGAGGCUUCCGACAGUCGGGGGAAUCGCUGGAGGGGCUGCCAGGAUUAAAAUGUACGUUUUUGAAGAAAACCGUAAAAUUUCAAUUUUGAUGAAUUAAAGUGCCCUUGUUUUUAAUAGGAUUAUUAAAAACUGGGCACUAAUUCAUCGAAAUUGACCUUCAGUUUAAGACAAUUAUUAUGGAAUGAAUCAUUUGCAUAACCACUUAGUCGUUGUCGCUAUUGAUGCAUCUAUAAAUAUCACAAUCCUAAUCAGUUUCCUAGAGAGAGCUAUUUCUAACAUGUUCAUGUUUUAUUCAUUAUAAAAUAUCUAUUUUUUCCAGACAGCAUUACUGUUAAUAGAGCAGAAAUGCUCCUUGAAGGCUACAAUUUCAAGAAUUCUUACAUUUUGUUUUGUAAUGGAAUGUCUUAUUUUUUCAUUAUUAAAGGGACAUAAAACAAGGUGGGUUAGAGACAAAAUAUAAUAUGUACUUUAAUUACUUUACCUGCAAAUUUAUAUUGCAGUGCCUUGCGAUUAACCCUUUCUUUUAAGUUCCGGAAUUGUACAGCUCUAACUCCCCCCACACAAUUCUUUCUAUGGCUGUAUCCAUAUCCACCUUUGGAUUUGGUAGAAUGCAAGACUUUAACACUCAUUAUCUGCUGGAGCAUGCCUAGAAGCAAAUAAGCUGCUGUGAACUCAUUUGGAAUAUAAUGCCUGUGUUUCUGAUGCUAAACACUGAUAAGGGGGGUGGAUCAGACUACUCCAGACAGCAUGGCUAUGUAACUAAUCCUGUCAAUCAGGAUAUUUGACUGUAUCAGCAGGAGAGUGGGACAGAGCUCAGAAUCCGGGACUGUCCCACACAACUCGGGACAGUUGGGAGCUCUGCUGCAUGGAUCUUAACCUUUGUGACAUUUAAGACAAACUCCUGUAAUAUGUGCUACAUCUAAACCUACAUGUGGGAUAUCGUUCAUAAACAGUACAUCUUAUAA